rnacentral:rRNA from 1 species
AGAGUUUGAUCCUGGCUCAGGACGAACGCUGGCGGCGUGCCUAACACAUGCAAGUCGAACGGGGUGAGACCCUUCGGGACCUUUACCUAGUGGCGAACGGGUGAGUAACGCGUGAGGAACCUGCCUUUCAGUGGGGGACAACAGUUGGAAACGACUGCUAAUACCGCAUGAAGCUUUUGGGAGACAUCUCCUGGAAGCCAAAGCUUAAUGUGCUGAAAGAUGGCCUCGCGUCUGAUUAGCUAGUUGGUGGGGUAACGGCCCACCAAGGCGACGAUCAGUAGCCGGUCUGAGGAUGAACGGCCACAUUGGGACUGAGAUACGGCCCAGACUCCUACGGGAGGCAGCAGUGGGGAAUAUUGGGCAAUGGGCGAAAGCCUGACCCAGCAACGCCGCGUGAAGGAAGAAGGCCUUCGGGUUGUAAACUUCUUUUACCAGGGACGAAGGACGUGACGGUACCUGGAGAAAAAGCAACGGCUAACUACGCGCCAGCAGCCGCGGUAAUACGUAGGUUGCAAGCGUUGUCCGGAUUUACUGGGUGUAAAGGGCGUGUAGGCGGAGAUGCAAGUUAGGAGUGAAAUCUAUGGGCUCAACCCAUAAACUACCUCUAAAACUGUAUCCCUUGAGUAUCGGAGAGGCAAGCGGAAUUCCUAGUGUAGCGGUGAAAUGCGUAGAUAUUAGGAGGAACACCAGUGGCGAAGGCGGCUUGCUGGACGACAACUGACGCUGAGGCGCGAAAGCGUGGGGAGCAAACAGGAUUAGAUACCCUGGUAGUCCACGCUGUAAACGAUGAAUACUAGGUGUGGGGGGACUGACCCCCUCCGUGCCGCAGUUAACACAAUAAGUAUUCCACCUGGGGAGUACGACCGCAAGGUUGAAACUCAAAGGAAUUGACGGGGGCCCGCACAAGCAGUGGAUUAUGUGGUUUAAUUCGACGCAACGCGAAGAACCUUACCAGGACUUGACAUCCAACUAACGAAGUAGAGAUACAUCAGGUGCCCUUCGGGGAAAGUUGAGACAGGUGGUGCAUGGUUGUCGUCAGCUCGUGUCGUGAGAUGUUGGGUUAAGUCCCGCAACGAGCGCAACCCCUAUUGUUAGUUGCUACGAAAGAGCACUCUAGCGAGACUGCCGUUGACAAAACGGAGGAAGGCGGGGACGACGUCAAAUCAUCAUGCCCCUUAUGUCCUGGGCUACACACGUAAUACAAUGGUGGCCAACAGAGGGAAGCGAAGCCGUGAGGCGGAGCAAAUCCCUAAAAGCCAUCUCAGUUCGGAUUGCAGGCUGCAACUCGCCUGCAUGAAGCUGGAAUUGCUAGUAAUCGCGGAUCAGCAUGCCGCGGUGAAUACGUUCCCGGGCCUUGUACACACCGCCCGUCACACCAUGAGAGUCGGGAACACCCGAAGUCCGUAGUCUAACCGCAAGGGGGGCGCGGCCGAAGGUGGGUCCGGUAAUUGGGGUGAAGUCGUAACAAGGUA